rnacentral:lncRNA from 1 species
GCAAAGGGUUACCUUCCAGUUCAACCUUCACCUUGGAAGAGGGGACCAUCUACCUGACUGCUGAGCCAAACGCCCUGGAAACGCAGGAUGACGCCUCCGUGCUGGAUGUCUAUUUAUAAGUGAAAGUGGUAACCACCUGAGCACAGGAAUGGGACCUGAACACAACUAUGGGAGAGAACUUCCCCCACUGCAGAAUUCUUCAGAAGAGCUGGGCCGAACCCCAGCACACAUAGUGAGAAUCAGCAGGACCUUGAAGCUUGCGAGAUGUCGGGGAGCCUGGGUCCAUGGCCCGUCAGCAGAUGGAUGUGAAAAGCCCACACCGUUCUGUGGGUGCUGUUGCUUGCUGACUGUGAAGAACUGCAUGAACUCUGUCUAAGCUGCUUUUCUCUACCAUUGCUGAUCACCCCCUUGGACUGGGAAGUGCUGUUUCCCCAUAGGCUCUCUCGGUGUUUCAUUCUGCAUGCAUAGAGUAAUUACAAAUAAGCAACCUAUGGAACCUGCUUCUAUAUUUUUUAAAAAUCCAUCCAUGCCAAAUGAUGAAUAAGAUAUAAAUCCUCUCUCUUUGUUUCAGAGAUUCGAAUCAUAACAAGCUUCGAUCUGUUUUCCUUUCAAGAUCAGUAUAAUAGGUCUGCCUUUCCUUUAUAGAAAGCUAGCUUCUAUAAAGAUUUUUUUCACUGUUUACUAGUGAAGUGAGAAAAGCAAAGCUGUUUAUAAAAGGCCUUAUGUCUUGUAUAUACAUUGUCUUUGAAAAUAUUUGUGAUUUAGUUUAUUGCUCGUAAAAGAGAAAUUAUAUAAUUUAUUUAGUAAAUACGACUGUAAACUAUAGUUUUAUUGAAAGAAAUAAAAUAUUUUGUUCUC